rnacentral:rRNA from 1 species
AGAAUCAACGCUGGCGGCGUGCCUAACACAUGCAAGUCGCACGAGAAAGGGGCUUCGGCCCUGAGUAAAGUGGCGCACGGGUGAGUAACACGUGACUAACCUACCCUCGAGUGGGGAAUAACCUAGAGAAAUCUGGGCUAAUACCGCAUAACACUUACGAGUCAAAGCAGCAAUGCGCUUGAGGAGGGGGUCGCGGCAGAUUAGUUAGUUGGCAGGGUAAUGGCCUACCAAGACAAUGAUCUGUAUCCGGCCUGAGAGGGCGCACGGACACACUGGAACUGAAACACGGUCCAGACUCCUACGGGAGGCAGCAGUGGGGAAUUUUGCGCAAUGGGGGAAACCCUGACGCAGCAACGCCGCGUGGAGGAUGAAAUCCCUUGGGAUGUAAACUCCUUUCGAUAGGGAAGAUAAUGACGGUACCUAUAGAAGAAGCCCCGGCUAACUUCGCGCCAGCAGCCGC